GGGCCCGUAGCUCAGAUGGUAGAGCACCGGGCUUUUAACCCGGGGGUCGCGGGUUCGAGUCCCGCCGGGCCCG
rnacentral:tRNA from 1 species